rnacentral:misc_RNA from 1 species
UUUCCGUAGGUGAACCUGCGGAAGGAUCAUUAUUACGUAUCCACGUAUCAACCCAUUCGUGAACUGUUCCCCGUCUGAUGAGGAUUUCUGCGACCACAAAAAUGCAUGAUGGAGAGGGUCGAAAGGCUCUCUAAUGCUGGUCGGUCCUGCUCUGUUCGGAGUGCUAGCUCAUUAGAUGUUGUUUUUUCAUCAUGCUACUCAUAUUAACCCCUUGUAACAAAACUUGAACUAAAAGACUUGCUACCAGAUAAAAAGGGUGGUGAAAAGACCGAAAUUAAGAAACAACUUUUAACAACGGAUAUCUUGGUUCUC